CUGAUGGUAGUCUUUGUUAGGUUAUGGUGUGUUACUGAUGGUAGUCUUUGUAAGGUUACGGUGUGUUACUGAUGGUAGUCUUUGUUAGGUUAUGGUGCAUUACUGAAGGUGGUCUUUGUUAUGUUAUGGGGUGUUGCUGAUGGUAGUCUUUGUUAGUUUAUGGUGUGUUACUGAUGGUAGUCUUUGUUAGGUUACGGUGUGUUACUGAUGGUAGUCUUUGUUAGGUUAUGGUGUGUUACUGAUGGUAGUCUUUGUUAGGUUAUGGUGUGUUACUGAUGGUAGUCUUUGUUAGGUUAUGGUGUGUUACUGAUGGUAGUCUUUGUUAGGUUAUGGUGUGUUACUGAUGGUAGUCUUUGUUAUGGUGUGUUACUGAUGGUAGUCUUUGUUAGGUUAUGGUGUGUUACUGAUGGUAGUCUUUGUUAGGUUAUGGUGUGUUACUGAUGGUAGUGUUUGUUAGGUUACGGUGUGUUACUGAUGGUAGUCUUUGUUACGUUAUGGUGUGUUACUUACUGCCUUUGUUAAGUUAUGGUGUUAGGUUAUGGUGUGUUACUGAUGGUAGUCUUUGCUACGUUAUGGUGUGUUACUGAUGGUAGUCUUUGUUAGGUUAUGGUGUGUUACUGAUGGUAGUCUU